rnacentral:rRNA from 1 species
UUUACUAGAAACUUUCAUACAGGUGCUGCACGGCUGUCGUCAGCUCGUGUCGUGAGAUGUUGGGUUAAGUCCCGCAACGAGCGCAACCCUCGUGUUUAGUUACUAACAGUUCGGCUGAGGACUCUAAACAGACUGCCUGGGUAACCAGGAGGAAGGUGAGGACGACGUCAAGUCAUCAUGGCCCUUACGGCCAGGGCUACACACGUGCUACAAUGGGGUAUACAAAGAGCUGCAAUACGGUGACGUGGAGCAAAUCUCAUAAAAUAUCUCCCAGUUCGGAUUGAAGUCUGCAACUCGACUUCAUGAAGUUGGAAUCGCUAGUAAUCGUAGAUCAGCAAUGCUACGGUGAAUACGUUCCCGGGUCUUGUACUCACCGCCCGUCACACCAUGGGAAUUGAAUUCAUUCGAAGCGGGGAUGCUAAAAUAGCUACCUUCCACAGUGGAUUUAGUAACUAGGGUGAAGUCGUAACAAGGUA